rnacentral:rRNA from 1 species
GAUGAAGGAUGUGUUAAUUUGUGAAAAGUGUUGGUAAGGUGAUAUGAAUUGUUAUAAUUGGUGAUGUUUGAAUGGGGAAAUUUAGUGUGAUUUGUUAUAUUAUUGUUAAUUGAAUAUAUAGGUUAAUGAGGUGAAUUGGGGGAAUUGAAAUAUUUAAGUAUUUUGAGGAAAAGAAAUUAAUUGAGAUUUUUUUAGUAGUGGUGAGUGAAUGGGGAGUAGUUUAGAGUUUGAAUUAGUUUGUGUGUUAGUGGAAUGG